GAUGAAGAACGUAGUGAAAUGCGAUAAGUAGUGUGAAUUGCAGAAUUCAGUGAAUCAUCGAAUCUUUGAACGCACAUUGCGCCCUUUGGUAUUCCAAAGGGCAUGCCUGUUCGAGCGUCAUUUGUACCCUCAAGCUUUGCUUGGUGUUGGGCGUCUUGUCUCUAGCUUUGCUGGAGACUCGCCUUAAAGUAAUUGGCAGCCGGCCUACUGGUUUCGGAGCGCAGCACAAGUCGCACUCUCUAUCAGCAAAGGUCUAGCAUCCAUUAAGCCUUUUUUUUCAACUUUUGACCUCGGAUCAGGUAGGGAUACCCGCUGAACUUAAGCAUAUCAAUAAGCGGAGGA
rnacentral:misc_RNA from 1 species